UACGGGGGGGCGAGCGUUAUUCGGAAUUAUUGGGCGUAAAGAGCGUGUAGGCGGCCAUGUAGGUCCGAAUGUGAAAACCGUGGGGGCCUCAACCUCCGACGUCUGUCGUCGGAAACCAUGUGGCUAGAGUCCGGAAGAGGAGAGUGGAAUUCCGUGGAUGUAGCGGUGAAAUGCGCAGAUAUCAGGAAGAACACCUAUGGCGAAGCAGCUCUCUGGGACGGUACUGACGCUGAGAGCGAAAGCGUGGGAGCGAACAGG
rnacentral:rRNA from 1 species